ensembl:lncRNA uncharacterized LOC114429020
CAGAGAAGCCCAUUGGUGGGGAGGCAGCAGCAGCUGAAAUAGCUAUGUAAACACUUUCCCUCUCUUCUUCGUGAGCCCCAGUAAUUAUAGCCAGGAUGCUGGUGACGACAGUUGUCCUAUCCAGACUUCAAAUGCUGGAAUAAAUUUGACAUUAUGACAUUUGAUCCCGGCUCCGAAGGCGCGCCCACGUAAACACCAGGGGGGUGCGGUAUAAAGACAGGGUACCCCGGCUGGAACAGAAGUUGUUUAUCCCCCCCAUCCGGACUUCACCUCGACAACAAGGAGAAAGGGGGCCCCUUUAAAUCCAACCCGCCGGGUUUUACGUAACACGGUGGAGGAAAAAGAGAAGGGGAAGCACUGCAGAGGGGACUUGUGAGGUGGGCAAGGAAGGGAAUGGAAGUGUCGGAGAGCAGCGCGCAGGGAGCAGAGCAGGCUGAGGAUUUAUAACCGGAGCGCAGUGAAAACUUUUAUUUAGAGGCAGUGUUUCCAGGCCAUCGAUCCUUCCGUCCCUCACUGACAACCCGACGCUGACCUCUCACCAGGAAAGUGAAACAGGAGAAAGGGAGGGGAAACGGCCAUUUAAAAUAAAAAAAGAGGGCCUCUGGGCAGUUAGUGAGCAGCCUGUGACAUGGCAGCCAUUGAUCUGGAGCUGGGGCUGGAGCGUAGUGGACGGGGCUGGGGGCAGGAGAGGCCGGAGCUGAUGGACAACUUUGACUUGGAGAUGCAGGAAUGGGAGGACCAGCUACAGGACAUCCAGAGGAAAAUUGAAGAGUUGUACAAUGAAGUUCAGGCCCGCAGAGGAGCAAACGAUAUCCCUACUGACAGCCAGAAAAAUGGCGGCCCAUUGGAGUGUGGCCUAGGACAUCAGGGCAAUGGCCUUUUUGCAGCCAGCCGUCACAGUGACAGUCAUCCUGGAGCCAUAACCGUGCCGCAUCACUAUAGCAACAGCUGUAACUACAACAGCGACGGGUACAGCUACCCUGUCAGCCGCCAGAAUGGCUACAGCUACUGCCACUCCAACGGAGUCUCAGAGAUCGGAGACCUACUGCAGGAUUAUCUGGCGACUGGAAAUCAAAUGAGCCGGAAGAACAAUGGAUCUCGCCAUGUGCACUUCAGUGACAUUGUUAAGGUGAGCCAGGAUGAUGAGGUCAGAGGAAGGUCUGGGAAUAAAAGGCUUGGUCAAGAGCAGUUUGUGGGCAGUUUUGAGGAGACUGAAAACAGGAAGAACAGAGUGUCUCACAUGAAGAACUCCUCCCGCAGAGAGAGUUCCCCCAACAAAGAACACACAGGUGCUAAGCCACCUCUUGGACAAAGGGAUGCUCCUGCUUUACAGGCACGCUCGCAGCAGCUGCCGGUCACAACUGCUGAAUCUCCUGCUAUGGACAGGAAGUCCUUCAGUCCAGGAGUUCUGGGAGACAGGUUGAGUAGCAGCCCCUCUGUUCUUAGGAAGUUUGGAGCCAUGUUGCAGGAGAACGAGGGCAAAAUGCUUACUGAAUCAGGAGUGGUGACCCAUCACGGAGCGGAGGCAAAGUGCCUCACCCCUGGCUGUCAACGCAGAGCUCUGGGAGCGACUGUAGUCGCCGGCAGAGUGCCCAUUCGUGCGCCUACCCAAAAAUGCCAAGCAGAUUCUGACGUGCUGACAGCAGAGUUAGAGUCCAGCCAAGAAUGGGUUUCAGACUUGAGCAGGCAGACCUACAAGGACCAGAGGGGAGGUUACAGCAGCCCCAAAGGCUCACAGCCUGGUGUCCAGCAGUCUCAGAGGAGAUCACAGGUGGUAGGGAGCCCAAAGGUUAGACCCAGGGCUAACAGUGGGGCGGACAAGGAUGGAGGACUGGCUCAAGGGGAGAAAGCAAGGAAGCCUGCUUUCCAACAGGUGGAGCCCAAAAUGGACUACAGGGUCUCAAGUGCUUCAUCUGGAGCUCAAAGGAUCCAGAGGGGAGGGUUAGGAGGACAAGAGACACCAGGCUGUAACCGAGUGAGGGAUGAAGGACUUAUGGAGCUGCUGGACAUGCUGGAGAUCCAGCAUGAGUACAGCUCCAGUCCCAGAUCAGGAUUCACAGCUUACCGGCAGGAGGCACAGCAGGUAAACCCAGCCUCUAAGAAGACCUUCUCCCGUCCUGCACGACCAGCCAAUCAGCGUCCUCCCUCCAGAUGGGCCAGCCGCACUCCUACUGCCAGAAUCACUGCCCCAUCAGGCCCAAUCUACCGCCCUCCUAGCCCCAUGACCAGAACCCCAAGCCCGUCCCUGAAGCAUCGGCCUCUCAUUUCCUACUCUCUUCAGACUGAGACUAUCAUCAUGUGAUAGCUUCUAAUUACAUUCACCCCGUCCCUGGGGACAGCCUUCUGUCUGUGUAAAUAGUAAGGACAAUUCUCUUGAACACGGUGCAACACAUUGACAACAUUCUCCAGUGUUGCUGUGGCUUUUAGGUUCCUCUGUGCCCAAAUGCAUCAGCUUGUUGCUUUGUUGCCGUUCCUCGCGUACUAAUCCAUUUUCCUCUUUUUGUAUUGAACUUCAGGUGUUUUCUGUGUGAUUUAGCAUGCAGCCCCAAGGUUGAGGCUGCAUGCUCAUGUGUUUCGCGGUUGUCAUGUUUGAAUCAGAUUCGGCCCUGACUACUGGUGGAAAACAAAGUUGCAACUGUGUACUCCCAGCAGCAACCUAUUGUCAACAACAGUGUGUUUUGCUGUAUUAUAUUGUCCAAAAUAUAUUUAAGAUGUUCAAAUAACACCUGUGACAAAUGAUUAUAAUAUGCCUUUAAUGUAUUUUUUUUUCCUUGGUAAUAAAUAUGACAGUGCUUUGACA